UACGUAGGGUGCAAGCGUUUGUCCGGAAUUAUUGGGCGUAAAGAGCUCGUAGGCGGUCUGUCACGUCGGCUGUGAAAUCCCCGAGGCUCAACCUCGGGUCUGCAGUCGAUACGGGCAAACUAGAGUAUUGCAGGGGAGACUGGAAUUCCCUGGUGUAGCGGUGAAAUGCGCAGAUAUCAGGAGGAACACCGGUGGCGAAGGCGGGUCUCUGGGCAACAACCUGACGCUGAGGAGCGAAAGCGUGGGGAGCGAACAGG
rnacentral:rRNA from 1 species